rnacentral:rRNA from 1 species
CGUUCCCGGGCCUUGUACACACCGCCCGUCACACCACGAAAGCGAGCAACACCCGAAGCCGGUGGCCUAACCGCAAGGAGGGGAGCCGUCGAAGGUGGGGCCCGUGAUUGGGGUGAAGUCGUAACAAGGUACCC